rnacentral:lncRNA from 1 species
AUUAUUUUAAGAGCCAUGGAGAAAUGAAAAUGUAUAAGGAAUUUUAUUAUGAAAUGCUUCUGUUCUGGGUCCUAAGGAGAUCCUGUCUCAGUUCCUAAAAGCUGGCAGGGCAAAGAGGGCCACGAAGUCUUAACUGAGGAUUUCUUAACUUAAUUGAGGUUGGGUUUCGAUUCCAGCCUUGGGAGAAGCCAUAUCGCUCUAACCAUCUCCCUCAUCAACGCCCAAAUCUCACCCAGCCUGCUUGCUGAGAAGUCUGAGAAGAAGGGUCCCUGAUUAUGUGGAGCCACAGCUCUAAUUCACACUCUAUAGUUAAAAGAAAGUUAAGUUCACUCUUGCAAUCUUCCCACAUGUUCUUCUGUGUCAUGAAAUAAAAAAUAAAUACAGAUCAUCAUUUGGAGAGGUCAGUGUCCAGGCAAGCUAAGAAAGAUAGAUUGGCUCAAGCUGGUGGCCUUCCAUCACCCCCCAUAUAGACCUAAUUAUAAAACACACACCACCUUAGUGAGUGAUUUAUUCUCCUGAGAAGAUCUGGAGGAGUUACAGCUUAUUGGAAAGGAAGGCAAAAAUAGGGAUGCUCUUCCAAAUACCAAAAUGAGCAAGAGGAAUUGGACUAGAUUUUAACUAAACAUGAAGACUGAACUUUCCUUCUAGAUCUCAGUGAUGCUGGAAGUGGCCCUCCUGUCUUGUGGCACGCAGCAGCCUCAGGACCUGUUAAACUAUCACUGGAAAGGGGAGGAGGAGAGAAAGCUCCCAGAAAGGGAAGGCAGCUCCCCGCUUCAGGCACAUAAUGCCAAUCAGAACAUGACAUUGUAAUACAUCAAACACGUUUCCAGAAGAAAAGAACUUGUGAAUUUAACAGCAGUUGGGUGUGGGAAGUCCAUCAGCAUUUUCAAAUAAUCAUGUCCAUAAUCAACUAAAAAGGCUAUCUUCAGUUAACAAGAGUUAGUCCUUCAUAUAUGGACUAUUAACAAGACACUAAUGCAAGACUUACUAAUCAGACUUCCCUACUAGACACUACCUUGCAUUUAUUGUUGAGAUGUGACACAUGAUGUUAAUUACAAAAUAAAUGACAUUCAGCCAGAAUCUAAAUAUCUAGGAAUCUAAAAUAACCAGAUCUUAUCUCCCACCCCUAUAGUCUCGUACGAUGAUAAUGAUGCCAACCCAGAAAACCCUGACAUUUUCUGUUUCUAAGGUUUCUCUGAAUCACCAUAAAGAUUUACUUAUGCUCUUGUGAAAUGCAUGUGCAUUGUUUUUACAGUAAGCCAAUUCUUCAAAAAUUGGUAAUCUGAAAUAUGAGACUUCCCAAAGCAGCCUUAGCAAGAAAAUUGCCGCAUUUGCUUCUUAACAGUCCUACCAGAUUACCCCCAAAUUUGGUGAGAUUUCCACUCUUUAGACUUGGGUGGUGAGGAGCAUAGUUAAACAGAUGUGGGCACGAAUCCUCUUCACUUCAACCCGUAAUCUUGGGCACGUUCAUUAACUCUCUGUGCUCAGUUUCCUCAACUGAAAAUCGAGAAAAACAAUACCUAUACCAUGAGGGUAUUCGUGUGGGGACUAAAUGAGAUAAUGUAUAAUAAUGACAUACUGUCCAGUAAUCCUUUAAUAAAUAGGGACUGCUAAUAUCUUCUUUAACUCAAUCACCUGUUUAGAGGGUGAGCAAUGACAGUGAGGCAUAUAAAAAUACACACAACUCUGAGGGAACCCUCUGCACUGGAGAGAAACUACAACCACGCAUGACACACUGACACCAAUCUUAAACCAUUUAUAGGAAAGGGCUAAGUGACCAGCAUACAAUAUUGGUUUAGAAAUUGAGAGACGUUGCAAACACAAAUGGCAGAGCAUUCUUAGUCCUCCAUUCUCACCUGAUCCCAAUAAUGAAGAGCACAGCUGGGAUGGAAGGAGACCAAGCUCCCUACCUUCCUGCCCAGCGCUCUUUACAACCUGCGAGCUGCACGCUGAGGCAUCACAGCCAGGCCGCGGAUGGUGGAUACAAUUAUCUCCCAGCCCUUUGAAGUUCGGCCAGAAAUAUUUGUUGUCAAUAUCACAUGUGAUUAGGACAGUAAUGUCCUCCUGCAAAAGACAGAACCCUUUGUCCACCACCCUCCUUCUGCCACUGCCAGAGAGCAGGAAGUGGGUGAGGGGCCGGCGCCUCUCUCCUCUUGGUCCAAUUUCACACAUUGGUUUUUCAGCAUUAAUAAAUUGGUUACAUUUGCCCUGCAUUUGGCAGCGAGGUUUCUAAUAACACUCUGAUCCCUUCAGAGAACAUGAAUCACUGGCAUGUGGGGGCUCUGGUUACCUCCCCCGACUGUCUGCUGCUAAAGGUCCCACACAUUAGCAAGGGUCAGGCACUCACCCGGGCCAGGGCAAAGUCUAAGACAAGGGCCAUGGCUUCGAGGCACUGCCACGGAGCUCAAAGAUUUUCCCUCAGAGGGAGAACAGAAAACUUUGAGCCCAGGCAAUGUGCAGCUUUCUUCAGCUGUCAAUCCUACCUGGUUUGCAUAUAGAUUAAGAAAACGUGUGAGAUUUUACCACAAGAAUCAGUCCAGAGAAUUCAAGGAGGGUGGUGGUGGGUGGAGAGAGGAUGGGAGGGAAAAAAAUGUGUGAUGCAGAUGUCUGAGAGUUAUGUGCCGCUCAGACACUGCCUCCUUUGUGAAGCCGGGAAUCUUCGGGGAUGGAUAGCCUGAGUGAGGACGGUGUACGAGGCAUCUACUUUUCUCUGAGGCAUGGUUCUUCUGGCUAUAGAAUUAGGUAUGCAAAAGGACCAUGAGCAAGGGGAAGCCCUGGGACUGAGAGGAGGCCCAGAGUCAGCGGCCAGUCACAACUUCAACCUUGGUGGGCGAAGCAGAGGGAGAAAAGAGGGCAAAGAAAUAUCUAAAGAGAGCACAGACAGGUCUAGGACAAACAAAGGGGGUAAAAUGGGAGGAAGAGAUGGAAAGAACAAUGAAAAAAGAGAAUCAAGAAGAGAGAGAGAGGAAAGAAGUUCAAUCAAAUCCAAUAGAUAUGCUAACCUCUACUUGAGAGAAAGGAGUGUUUUUACAUAUAGCAAGUAUAUAUGGAAUCCAGUUGCUGCCCCCCCAGGAGCCC